UAAAUCUGGAGGAAGAGAUGCAAGAAGCUCCUUAGCAAGUCUCAAUACCUGGCUUUCUUCAAGGCUCAUUUCAAGUUUCCUACUAAUAAAGGGUUUUUCUUGCUGCUCCAAGGGCUGGGAACUGAGUUGCCCCAGAGAAUUAACUCGGGAGGAUGUUACGUGGAUGUUACUGUCUAUUUUCUAAAGCGAUUGAAUGUUUGCAGAGUGAAUCAGCUAAAAAAUCUCCUUGGAAUCAAGGAAUUCCUGGCUGAUGUAAAGAGAUAUUCAAGAAGCUUGCUAUUUGCUUCUUACUAAACUUUGGA